AUGGCCGGUCGAGCAGCGACGUUUCCGCCUGCUUCGCCGCCGCCAGGCGAGCAGUUCGCGGAGGUGGUGGUGGUGCGACACGGCGAGACGUCGUGGAACGCCUCCCGCACCAUCCAGGGGCAGAUGGAUCCGGAGCUGAACGAGACCGGCAGACGACAGGCUCUCGUGGUUGCCCGUCGGCUGUCGAGGGAAGCCAAGCCAGCUGCCGUCUACUCCUCCGACCUCAAGCGCGCCGCCGAGACCGCGCAAACCAUAGCCACAGCCUGCGGCGUAUCCUCUCUGGUGCUGGAUCCAGCGCUGAGGGAGAGGCACAUGGGGGAUCUCCACGGCGUGGUAUUCGACGACGCCGUCAGAAGGAGCCCUGAGAUCUUCUCUUCUUACUCGAGGACCCAUGAAAUCCCCGGUGGUGGGGAGAGCCUCGAUCAGCUAUCCAAGAGGUGUGUCUCGUACCUGAACACGGUAGCUGAGAAGCACAAGGGGGAGCGGGUGAUCGUGGUCACCCAUGGCGCCAGCACGGAGGAGCUGUGCAUACACGCCGACCCGACCAGCCCGGUGCGCGGGAAGCUCUACAACACUUCGAUCUGCGUCUUCCGUAUCGGCGGCGGCGAAUGGAUCCUCGAGAAGGCCGGCGACGUCGGCCAUCUCGAUCAAGGUGAAUUCCUUGAGGACGCAUUUGGCGGCGAUGGUGUAUCUGCGUGA
rnacentral:rRNA from 1 species